rfam:Bacillus litoralis strain C44 Scaffold22, whole genome shotgun sequence.
UAACGUUUUUAUAACGAUUAAUUAUACAUAUAAUAUUCUGUUAAUGAUAAAAUUUUUUUUAGCACCACCUGUGCUACAGUAUUAGGAGGAUUAAGUACUAUGCAAAACGGUAAAGUAAAAUGGUUUAACAAUGAAAAAGGUUUUGGGUUUAUCGAAGUUGAAGGCGGAGAUGAUGUAUUCGUACACUUCACUGCUAUCCAAGGUGACGGAUACAAAUCAUUAGAAGAAGGUCAAGAAGUUUCUUUCGAAAUCGUUGAAGGUAACCGCGGACCACAAGCUGCUAACGUAACAAAGUUAUAAUCACAAGCACUUCAAAUAACUUGUGAUUCAACCAUAGACAACUUGAAUUAACAGAGGCUGAGUUUUCUCCGCCUCUUUU